CACAUUUCCUUCUUUCUCUAUUCUCUCACAAGGUCGAAGGAAGGCUUUGCCGUUGUUUAACUCCGACCAACAUCAGCGUCACACUCGGUCACGAAUUUGGCAACAUGUCUACGAGACCAGCAGUUGGCAUUGAUCUCGGGAGCACCUACUCCUGCUUGGGUGUGUUCCAGCAUGGUUGAAAUCAUUGCCAACGACCAUGGCAACAGGACCACUUCAAGUUAUGUUUCCUUCACAGACUCAGACUUAUUGGUGAUGCCGUCAAUAAUCGGGUUACACAGUAUUCGACAGUCAACAAUGCAGUCGUUACCGUGCCUGCUUAUUUUAAAGACUCCCAGCGCCAGGCAUCCAAAGAUGCUGGCACCAUCUCAGGCCUGAAUGUACUGCAUAUCUUCAAUGAGCCAACUGCUGCUCCCAUUUCCUGUGGCUUGGAUAAGUAGCUAAUAUAGACCGUAUCCUCCAGGUGUAUGAGGGUGAGAGGGCCAUGACCAAGGACAACAACCUGUUGUGCAAGUUGGCGCUGACUGGAAUCCCCCCUGCACCUCGCGGUGUUCUUCAGAUUGAGGUCACCUUUAACAUUGACGCUAACGACAUCAUGAAGGCGUCUGCAGCUGGCGAAGAGGACAAGAUCACUAUCACCAAUGACAAGGGUCAUUGAGCGCAUGGUCCAGGAGGCUGAGAAGUACAAGUGUGAGGAUGAUGUGCAGCGUGACAAGGUUUCCUCCAAAAACUCCCUGGAGUCCUACUCUUUCAACAUGAAAUCCACAGUGGAGGAUGAGAAACUACAGGGCAAGAUCACUGACGAGGACAAGACCAAGAUUCUGGACAAGUGCAACGAGGUCAUCGGCUGGCUUGACAAGAACUAGGUGUAUGAGGAUGAGAGGGCCAUGACCAAGGACAACAACCUGCUCCUUGCAAUGUUCUUCAGAUUGAGGUCACCUUUGACGUUGACGCUAACGACCUCAUGAAGGCGUCUGCAGCUGACAAGCACACUGGCAAGGAGGACAAGAUCACUAUCACCAAUGACAAGGACUGCUGAUAAGGAAGAGUAUGAGCACCACCAGAAGGAGCAUCGCCAUGUUGUACCAAGGUGCUGGUAUACCCGACGGUGUGGCUGGUCGAUACCCCGGAGCUGGUGGUGCGGCUCCUGGUGGCUGUGGGUUAUCUUAACUGACUUGAGGAAGUCGACUAAACCAUUCCACUGUUUCUGCAACUACCUCCCCCCUCACAAGCAACGUUUGAAAUGUUCUACCUGUUUGUGAUGGAGUCAGUGACUCUUGUCAGUGAGAUUUUAAAGUUAGAAAAAAGGUUGCCUGAUCACACUUCUAUUGCAACUUUGUUUGCUACAGAACAGUAAUUUUAUGUUUGCUCAACUAGGCUGUCAGAUUUCACAUGGAGUAUAUUGUGCCUUUAAGACAAAAUAAAACAUGGUGACCUUCCACAA